UACAGAGGUGGCAAGCGUUGUUCGGAAUUACUGGGCGUAAGGGGCGCGUAGGCGGCCUACUAAGUCAGACGUGAAAUCCCCAGGCUUAACUUGGGAACUGCGUCUGAUACUGGGAGGCUUGAGUGCGGGAGAGGGAUGUGGAAUUCCAGGUGUAGCGGUGAAAUGCGUAGAUAUCUGGAGGAACACCGGUGGCGAAGGCGGCAUCCUGGACCGACACUGACGCUGAGGCGCGAAAGCUAGGGGAGCAAACGGG
rnacentral:rRNA from 1 species